rnacentral:rRNA from 1 species
CCGUACCUACGGGGGGCAGCAGUGAGGAAUAUUGGUCAAUGGGCGAGAGCCUGAACCAGCCAAGUCGCGUGAGGGAAGACGGUCCUAUGGAUUGUAAACCUCUUUUGUCGGGGAGCAAAAAGACUACGUGUAGUCCCAAGCGAGAGUACCCGAAGAAAAAGCAUCGGCUAACUACGUGCCAGCAGCCGCGGUAAUACGUAGGUGGCGAGCGUUAUCCGGAAUGAUUGGGCGUAAAGGGUGCGUAGGCGGCCUGCUAAGUCUGGAGUGAAAGGUACCGGCUCAACCGGUACAGGCUCUGGAAACUG